ACCUAGAUUUUUUGCUUCUAUUUUUCCCAUCGCCUAAGGCGAUUUCCGGCGGCGUUUUCAGCGUCCUUCUGGUGGUGGUCUUCUCGUGGGCGGUUAUGGCAAGUCUCCGGCGGAAGAACCUUAGACGGCCAGAUUGGGAGUUCUGACUUCUCUAUCCGUCUAUUCCUGGGUUUGAACGGUAGAACGGCCGGAUUUCUCUGGCUUAGACGGAGUUUCUCUUGGCUACUCGUUUGUUGGCUCGGCUGAGACAGCGGUGGAACUUCUGCCGGUUGGAUUUAGUCUCCUUCUCGGUGGUGUUUCCGGUGACUAGUUGUGAUGAUGGUGUCAACUGUCAACGGUGGCUACCCGUUUGUAGGCUCCAGCAACGAUUCGUCAUCUGCUAUCAGUGGGUUAAACCGGAGGUUCUACCUUACUCCGGUGAGUUGAGAAUUGAGCAGUCCCCUGAUGACGAGCAUCAGAAUCGGACGCUAGUCACGCUACUUCCCGUCGUCGACGAGGACGCAACUGAAUCGAAUGCCGCCUCCAGAUUUAUGAUGAGUAAUAUGGAUAAGGAUUAACAUAGAA